GGACUACCGGGGUAUCUAAUCCUGUUUGCUCCCCACGCUUUCGCACCUCAGCGUCAGUAUUGGCCCAGGUCUCCGCCUUCGCCACUGGUGUUCCUCCCGAUAUCUACGAAUUUCACCUCUACACCGGGAAUUCCGAGACCCUCUUCCAUACUCAAGCUCGCCAGUUUCGUAUGCACUUCCGGGGUUGAGCCCCGGGCUUUCACAUUCGACUUAACGAGCCGCCUACGCGCGCUUUACGCCCAAUGAUUCCGAGCAACGUUUGCACCCUCCGUAUUACCGCGGCUGCUGGCAC
rnacentral:rRNA from 1 species